CGCAGUCCAAAUGGAGAAGAUGGAGCAGACAGACGGAGGGUAUGUUCCUUACAGAGAAUACGGAUAAACUGCCCGGGGGACAAGGCUAACUAGACUGGGGGCCGGGGGACCGACACCCCAUCUAAGACAAAUUCAUUAGAUUGACAAUGACCGAGUAUGCUGAUAUAACACGGUGAGUCCGAUAUUGAUGCACUGCAAAGCUGUCCCAUCCAAUGUGUGGACGGACUCCCGAAUAACCAGCACCGGCACCGUGAAUUCCAUUUUUUGGCAAUAUGGCCCAUUGUUGCGUUCGUUCGGAAGCUCAACAAAGAUCAUUAAACUAACGAUCGGUGGGACUUUCGUUCGAUUGCAAUGAUCGGGCUCGACAUCCAUUCCAAACUGUGGAGGCCAAGAAAAACAUGAAUGCACUGACGCCAGGAAUAUCACAUCAUCUCCAGUGUACUAAUCGUUGUGAUGAUCUCAUGGUCGGCGAGAACAGGAAAGAGAGUAAAGAAAUGAUCUAUGUAUCAAUAGUUUUUAUAACUGAUUAAAAGUCACACCGUUAAAAAACACACAUUGCUAGUUAUUCAAGAUUAUUACUAAGAAAGUUUGUUUCUUCAAAGACCCAGAUUCACCAAAGGAUGGAGGCAAUAAGAGAUGCCGCCCCAGCGACGGCAGAAAUCGCCAUCUUGGUGCUAGCGGCGACCCCCAGUGCUCCAGCACGUUCGAAGAACGAAAUAAAAAAAUGUUCAAUCAAUUCUAAUAUGAGGUUCAUGUGCCAUAUCGCUCACAUAAAAAACUAUGUUCAACUGUCAUUUAAAGCAUGUACGGUACCAACAUCGGUAACAAUAACGUUGAACACGCAUAAAUAAGCACACUCUCUCUCUCUCUCUCUCUCUCUCUCUCUCUCUCUCUCUCUCUCUCUCUCUCCUUGUCUAAAAAACCCACCACAAAAUUAAUUCUUCAUACUAGCUUGUUUCCAACUACUAUGUGGCAAUCAGAUUUUCCAUACUGAUCACAGAAUCUUUUAAGACGUCUUAAUGCUCUUGAUGAUUCCUAUUACUAGUAAUACAGGUAUACUAAACUACGUUGUGGGCUUACAAUAUCCAUCUGUAAAAAAGUA